rnacentral:lncRNA from 1 species
UUGAUUUUGCCCUCGUGGAAUAUGAGUAAGCUUAAAGUCCGGAAAGCAUAUCCUGAGAGUUUCUAUCCUCUCCAAUUCUGUCGCAAAGCUCGACCAAGCAUAAGUCUCAUUGAUCAUUGCAAUCAAAUCCUUGCAGUCCGUUCCAAAACUUUGACAAGUCGAAUACUGGAGCAUGAUCUCCAUUGCCCAUCUCAGUGCUUCCAUCUCUGAAUGUAAGGCAGACUCUCUUCGAAUAUGAUUCGGUGUCCUCAUAAGUUGAAGCUUCCUCAAGCUGUCAAGCCAGACCCAUCC